UGGGCUGUGGUUUUCUAUUUGGCAAUAGUGCAGCUUAAAUGAAUGUAUGCUGUCCCUCCAGCUCCCCUGUCCAGCCCAGACCUGGUUUGUGCUGCAGCCACAAACAGCAGCACCAGCACAACAUGGGGCCUUCUCCUUCUGCAGCUCACUGCUUGGAAAGAUUUCAGGAGUGCUUCUGUCCCAUUUUAAGCCCUACAGUUCAGCAGCCAAAUAUAAAGGUGCUGUUUCCCCCCCGGGCUGCCGGGGCCGAGCCGAGGCAGAGGGACCCGUGAGGAUGUGCGUGGUGGUCCCGCACCGCCCGUCCCGCAGCCCCGUCCCGGCUCUUCCUGCCCGAGGGAAGCAGCAGCGGAUCCCCACCCGCUUCGCAGUGAGUUCGCCUGGCCUUGGAGUUCUCUUUGCCUCCAGGCAAAGGCUCCUGUCUAAACCGCGCCAUGAAAAUAAAACACAGAGGGAGAGAAGGAGGGGAAGUUGUGUUUCCCAAAACUGAAAGACAGUAAAAAAAGGUCGUCAAAAAUAUCCAGAUGAAGACAGUAAAGGAAGAACAUCAACAACUUUAGGGACGGGAUUCUAAGAGCGAAAAUGGUUUCAGGCUAAAAUGACAUUAAAAAUCACGAGGGCACGUUUUCUUCGCAGCGCGGCUUUCACACACGAGCAUAUAACACACAUGAGAAAACACGUUUUAAGAAUUGAACUUACCCCCGCCUGCCAAAUCCUCCCAACUUGUGGGACUGUUCCUUAGCGCUGCACACAACCUGGUCCUCCAAGCCCUGCGUUAAGCACUGCUGAUACAGUGGAACAGGAAUAAAAUUGAAAAGAAAAGUUUUUGUCA
rnacentral:lncRNA from 1 species